GCUAGCUACAGGCUUAACACAUGCAAGUCGAGGGGCAGCAUGGUCUUAGCUUGCUAAGGCCGAUGGCGACCGGCGCACGGGUGAGUAACACGUAUCCAACCUGCCGUCUACUCUUGGACAGCCUUCUGAAAGGAAGAUUAAUACAAGAUGGCAUCAUGAGUCCGCAUGUUCACAUGAUUAAAGGUAUUCCGGUAGACGAUGGGGAUGCGUUCCAUUAGAUAGUAGGCGGGGUAACGGCCCACCUAGUCUUCGAUGGAUAGGGGUUCUGAGAGGAAGGUCCCCACAUUGGAACUGAGACACGGUCCAAACUCCUACGGGAGGCAGCAGUGAGGAAUAUUGGUCAAUGGGCGAGAGCCUGAACCAGCCAAGUAGCGUGAAGGAUGACUGCCCUAUGGGUUGUAAACUUCUUUUAUAAAGGAAUAAAGUCGGGUAUGGAUACCCGUUUGCAUGUACUUUAUGAAUAAGGAUCGGCUAACUCCGUGCCAGCAGCCGCGGUAAUACGGAGGAUCCGAGCGUUAUCCGGAUUUAUUGGGUUUAAAGGGAGCGUAGAUGGAUGUUUAAGUCAGUUGUGAAAGUUUGCGGCUCAACCGUAAAAUUGCAGUUGAUACUGGAUAUCUUGAGUGCAGUUGAGGCAGGCGGAAUUCGUGGUGUAGCGGUGAAAUGCUUAGAUAUCACGAAGAACUCCGAUUGCGAAGGCAGCCUGCUAAGCUGCAACUGACAUUGAGGCUCGAAAGUGUGGGUAUCAAACAGGAUUAGAUACCCUGGUAGUCCACACGGUAAACGAUGAAUACUCGCUGUUUGCGAUAUACUGCAAGCGGCCAAGCGAAAGCGUUAAGUAUUCCACCUGGGGAGUACGCCGGCAACGGUGAAACUCAAAGGAAUUGACGGGGGCCCGCACAAGCGGAGGAACAUGUGGUUUAAUUCGAUGAUACGCGAGGAACCUUACCCGGGCUUAAAUUGCAGAUGAAUUACGGUGAAAGCCGUAAGCCGCAAGGCAUCUGUGAAGGUGCUGCAUGGUUGUCGUCAGCUCGUGCCGUGAGGUGUCGGCUUAAGUGCCAUAACGAGCGCAACCCUUGUUGUCAGUUACUAACAGGUUCCGCUGAGGACUCUGACAAGACUGCCAUCGUAAGAUGUGAGGAAGGUGGGGAUGACGUCAAAUCAGCACGGCCCUUACGUCCGGGGCUACACACGUGUUACAAUGGGGGGUACAGAGGGCCGCUACCACGCGAGUGGAUGCCAAUCCCCAAAACCUCUCUCAGUUCGGACUGGAGUCUGCAACCCGACUCCACGAAGCUGGAUUCGCUAGUAAUCGCGCAUCAGCCACGGCGCGGUGAAUACGUUCCCGGGCCUUGUACACACCGCCCGUCAAGCCAUGGGAGCCGGGGGUACCUGAAGUGCGUAACCGCGAGGAGCGCCCUAGGGUAAAACUGGUGACU
rnacentral:rRNA from 1 species